CCUACGGGCGGCUGCAGUGGGGAAUAUUGGACAAUGGGGGCAACCCUGAUCCAGCCAUGCCGCGUGUGUGAAGAAGGCCCUCGGGUUGUAAAGCACUUUCAGUGAGGAAGAACGCCUGGUGGUUAAUACCCAUCAGGAAAGACAUCACUCACAGAAGAAGCACCGGCUAACUCCGUGCCAGCAGCCGCGGUAAUACGGAGGGUGCGAGCGUUAAUCGGAAUUACUGGGCGUAAAGCGCGCGUAGGUGGCUUGAUAAGCCGGUUGUGAAAGCCCCGGGCUCAACCUGGGAACGGCAUCCGGAACUGUCAAGCUAGAGUGCAGGAGAGGAAGGUAGAAUUCCCGGUGUAGCGGUGAAAUGCGUAGAGAUCGGGAGGAAUACCAGUGGCGAAGGCGGCCUUCUAGACUGACCCUGACACUGAGGUGCGAAAGCGUGGGUAGCAAACAGGAUUAGAUACCCUUGUAGUC
rnacentral:rRNA from 1 species